UCUACGGGAGGCAGCAGUGAGGAAUAUUGGUCAAUGGCCGGAAGGCUGAACCAGCCAUGCCGCGUGAGUGAAGAAGUACUUCGUUAUGUAAAGCUCUAUCAGCAGGGAAGAAAAUGCCGGUACCUGAGUAAGAAGCCCCGGCUAACUCCGUGCCAGCAGCCGCGGUCAUACGUAGGGGGCAAGCGUUAUCCGGAUUUACUGGGUGGAAAGGGAGCGUAGACGGCAGUGCAAGUCUGGAGUGAAAGGCGGGGGCCCAACCCCGGGACUGCUCUGGAAACUGUACGGCUGGAGUGCAGGGGAGGUAAGUGGAAUUCCUAGGGUAGCGGGGGAAUGCG
rnacentral:rRNA from 1 species